UUAUUAUUUUUUGUUUCCCUUUUCACGCUCUGAGAAGAACAAGCCCGCGCCAAGAGCAGUGUCUCCUUCGACACUUCACAAACCCGCGCCAAGAGCAGUGUCACUGUCAUCUAUUCUUCUUCGCUCGUCUCGCCGUCAUCUCUUCCAAACCCGUCGCCCCUCAUCAUCGCGCUCACCAGUAGGCCGGAAUAUUUAAAGGAAGAACCAUAUACAGCUGAAGAAAUUGAGGCAAUUACGGGUGAAAAGUUGACUUCACAGCAAUGAUGCUUAUGUGGAAGUUUUGAAAGUUGCAAAGCACUACAAAUUACAUCAAGUUCUUUUCUAAUCCCCAUUAGCAAAGUGCCAACAAAAUAUCCAACAAUAAAAUGACGAUCUGUAGAUUUGAUAGAUGCAAGCAUUUGUGCAGAGAUCAGAAUAAGGAUUCCCAAAACAAUUGCAUGGGACUACAAUUUUGAACCAGCUCAGACAAAUCCCUUAACCUUUACAGCUAAGCUCUAAUGGAAGCUAUUGAAGAGCCAUUAAAAGCCGAAGGACAUGGAGACUUGCAGGGAUGAAGCUGAACUGGAGUGUGUAAAGACACAGCUGAAAGGAAGUUGGCGUGCCACUCCAAGGAAUGGCGUUCAACGCCUUCCCAGAUACAGAGAAGUUGCGUGCCACUCCAAGGAUGGCUUUAACGCCAUGAAGCCCAGCAAGCCAAGCAACAAGUUGGCGUGCCACUCCACCACAAGGGCAUUUAAGGCCUUCAACAGAGCAACAAGUUGGCGUGCCACUCCACCGUAAGUGCGUGCAACACCCUCAACAAGACAACAAGUUGGCGUGCCACUCCAAAGUUGGUGUGUAAUGCCUUCAAUGAUACCAUGGAGUUGGCAUGCUACACCAAGCCCAGGCAUGUAACGCUUCCAAGCCCACAAUAAGUUGGCGUGCCACGCCACAAGCCCAAGUGCCAUGCCAAUCAAGGCUCACUCCCAGAUAUGUAAUUUCGGGAAUUAACUGAGAUUGAGAAAGAAAUCAUGAAUCAGAAAAGAGGAAGAGGAAAUGGCAGAGGAACUAAACAAUGCAAGAAGGAACUUUGGGGACUUCACCACACCCACCACUAAUUUUGAGUCGAAGCCUUCACCACCCUUGGGAACUUAAUCGUCAAAUUCAUGAUAAAUAAUCACUAUAAACCAAACUCACUGUCAUUAUCAAAUUCAUCAUAAGCCUUUGAUAAAAUAGAUUCAAUCUUAAUCAUAAUCUUAAUUAAUUAUGAUUCCAUCAGUUAUUAAAACAACUAUCAACGUUAAUCCAACUACCAUUGUUAAACCGUGAGCGGGACAAAGUCACUGUUCUUACUGAACUAGCAUCCCACCACAUCAAUCAUAAUCUCAUCUAAUCCAAUUUUGGAAAAUAUAACUCAUCCUAACCCCAUUUUUUUAUUAAAUACUCAAUCUCAUCAUUUCGUUAGCAGGACUAAGUAACCGACUUCACUGUGAGUGAGACGAACCACCA